rnacentral:rRNA from 1 species
GCCUACGGGGCGCAGCAGUAGGGAAUUUUCGUCAAUGGGCGCAAGCCUGAACGAGCAAUGCCGCGUGAACGAGGAAGGUCUUCGGAUCGUAAAGUUCUGUUGAAGGGGAAAAAGAGCGGAGAGAGGAAACGGUCUCCGAUUGAUAUUACCCUUCGAGGAAGUCACGGCUAACUACGUGCCAGCAGCCGCGGUAAUACGUAGGUGGCGAGCGUUAUCCGGCAUGAUUGGGCGUAAAGGGUGCGUAGGCGGCCUGCUAAGUCUGGAGUGCACGGUACCGGCUCAACCGGUUCAUGCUCUGUAAACUG